CGGAGAUUGCUUCUUCAGGUCCAUAUCACUGAGGCUGUGAGUCUCAACUAAGGAAACACCCAUUGAUUCAUGGGCAUCUUUUACCCCAGCUCUCUGCCUCUUUCUGGAUAUGACCUCUACCUCCUCAACCCAUUCAUCUAGGCUGCUGUGUCUGUCCUCACUAGCAGAUGGUGUGAUCACAGAGACUAGAUAUGCAAGAGAACCCGUUGACAGCUCACAAGUGGCUGUAAUUUCAGCAUCACGGAACCUCACACCUUCUUCAACCUCCUGGACAGUAGGCAUGCAUGUGUUGCACAUGUGAACAAGCAUAUGUACAACUAAAAGUAUAAAAACAGAAGAGCAGUUCCUGCUUGACAUAAUUUGAUUUUCGUGAAUAUUCAUAGUAAUGAUCACAGUCAAAUAAACACUUUAUUGUUCUAUAGUGCAAUCAAAACCACUAAAAGUUAAUGAUCACAUGAGUC
rnacentral:lncRNA from 1 species